rnacentral:rRNA from 1 species
GGGAAGGGGGCGGCAGCUACACAUGCAGUCGAGCGGAUGACGGGAGCUUGCUCCUUGAUUCAGCGGCGGACGGGUGAGUAAUGCCUAGGAAUCUGCCUGGUAGUGGGGGACAACGUUUCGAAAGGAACGCUAAUACCGCAUACGUCCUACGGGAGAAAGCAGGGGACCUUCGGGCCUUGCGCUAUCAGAUGAGCCUAGGUCGGAUUAGCUAGUUGGUGGGGUAAUGGCUCACCAAGGCGACGAUCCGUAACUGGUCUGAGAGGAUGAUCAGUCACACUGGAACUGAGACACGGUCCAGACUCCUACGGGAGGCAGCAGUGGGGAAUAUUGGACAAUGGGCGAAAGCCUGAUCCAGCCAUGCCGCGUGUGUGAAGAAGGUCUUCGGAUUGUAAAGCACUUUAAGUUGGGAGGAAGGGCAGUAAGUUAAUACCUUGCUGUUUUGACGUUACCGACAGAAUAAGCACCGGCUAACUCUGUGCCAGCAGCCGCGGUAAUACAGAGGGUGCAAGCGUUAAUCGGAAUUACUGGGCGUAAAGCGCGCGUAGGUGGUUUGUUAAGUUGGAUGUGAAAGCCCCGGGCUCAACCUGGGAACUGCAUCCAAAACUGGCAAGCUAGAGUACGGUAGAGGGU